rnacentral:lncRNA from 1 species
ACCCAAAAUUCCAAUAAACUCGAAGAACAUAAAUAUGUGAACAUGUUGUUAGUAAACUGUAUUAGUAAAACAAUUCUGAAAAUAUAAAUUAAUAUAAACAGAAAUGACAUAAACAAAAAUGAUAACAAUUUGAGGCCACUAAAUUCAUAGUGUCUCCUUAAGGAAUUUAAUCCCCUUCUAGCACCCAAGGUUAUGGAUUAUUUCNNNNNNNNNNNNNNNNNNNNNNNNNNNNNNNNNNNNNAGCACCCAAGGUUAUGGAUUAUUUCCUCCCAGGAUAGAACGAAUUACACACUAGUGUAGUGGUACUCCAAACGCCAGUGUUUCAGCGAACACAAAGAUAAGUAGCAAACCACACUUACUUUUUGCUUUGUUUGCAUGUUAAAAGUAUGCAGAAGGAGAGAAAACUCAAAAAUUCGUAGUGAAAUUCUGAGCAGAAUAGUUUUGUAUUUAUAGCCAAAAUUUGGGCUGGAAUUUGAAGAGGUGCAACUCUUCAGAAUGGUUGUUUCUGCAAAACUGCCACAGCAUAAAAUGGCUAUCUACUCAACAAUAAAGAGGAAAAAUAAAUAGGGAAAAUUGAUGGGUAGUUAAUUUUCGGUUACAAAAACAGAAAAACGGAUUGGAAAUAAUAUUAAUAUUUUAUUAUUAACAAAUAUGUAAUAACACAUUUCUGUUAAUAUUUUACUAUUAACAAAUAAAUUUGGUCUAAAAAGUUAAUCAAUCAAUCGAUCAUUUGACCGAAUACGAAUCCGAAGCCGAGCGACGACGACGCGAGGCUUGCUUUGUUCUCAACUCUUUAAGAGCUAGAAGAAGCGCAAUUGCUUAUAAACCCAUAAAAAAUCUCUUCCUCUUUCAAUAUGGGACAAUGUGGAUAUGUCAAAGGGGAAAAUAUGAAAUUACACUCAGAAAUAUCAUUUCCCUCCAUUUCUCAUUCACCAUCUUUAAAGUUUUUGAUUUAUUAAUUAAAUACAUAAACCCAUCAGAUGCAACAGUAACAAUGCCUCAAUUCCACACAAGUUGGGUUUACUGACGGAGCCAGAAUUUGAAGUUACUGGGCUCGGGAUUCUAGUUUUUUUUUUUUGUAUUGGGUUCUACAGUAAGAAUUUGUAGUUAUUCAAUGGAUUUCUUAAGACAAAGAUAGGGUUUGCACUAAAACUACUAAGUUCCACCGAACCCGUUAUCGAAGCUGUAGUUCUACCCCUAGUUGGAUCGGCUAUAUGCAGGGGCAGAGCCACAGUACGUGUUGCGGGUUCGGUCGAACCCAAGUAACUUUGUCCAAAUCCUAUAUUUAUCGCAAGAAAUUCAUUGACGUUAACGUUAACAACCCAGUAUAAUCCCACUUAGUGGGGUAUAGGGAGGGUAGUAUGUACGCAGACCUUACCCCUACCCUAGGGUAGAGAGGCUGUUUCCAAAUAGACCCCCGUCAUCCUUCCCUCCAAGAAUUUCCCACCUUGCUCUUGGGGAGACUUGAACUCGCAACCUCUUGAUUGGAAGUGAAGAUUACUUACCAUCAGAGCAACCCCUCUUGUCUAAGAAAUUCAUUGAAUAUGUACAAAUUCUUAAUUUAGAACCCAAUAACUUAAAAAAUUAAAAUUUCGAACCCAAUAACUUUAAAUUCUGGCUCCGCGACUAUAUGAAUCAUCACUGACCAUAUUUAUCCAUUUAAAUACAUUCUCUCAUAAUCAUACCAAAUAUGUGAAGAUGCACUUUUUAGAAACUUUCUAAAUGCAAAAUAGGCAAUUUAUGUACCUGCAGCCUUUCAAUAGAGCCAGACAUGAUGGUAAAUGAUGAGUAAGUUGAUUAAUAUUUUCUUAAAAUACUAGUAGUAAAUCCUAUAGUUAAAGCAGUCUAACAAAGAUAACAAAACCAGAUUUAGUAGCAUGGUUCUGAAAAUCAGCAACAAGUUUCAAUUUAAGAUAGUCUAUGCAAUCGUCCUAAGUUUAGGAAUGAUUUGGUGAUGCUUUUCCCCGGACCUUAUGUGGACAAGGAAUAUUUUGU